UUUAUAGUUUUUUUUUGCGCGAAGAAAUGUUUUGCCUGUUUGUUUUAAAUGUAUACCCACGUAAGCUGUACCCAAAUGUAAAUUAGCAUAUGUUCAGAAGAAAUGUGGUUUAUCCAGUGCAUUGAGAAGCAAUGUGGAAGUGAAACGCUAGCCUUCUAUGCAUUGUUAUUGUCGUUUUAAAACUAACUCAGAAGUCAUCGCCAAAGUGUGUGUGUGAAAGUAAUUUUGGUGGGGGGUAUUACAGCAGAUGAGCUUGCUGUUAACUCUUGGUCGAAGAUAACAGACACUAUGGGGCAAUAGAGCUCAAACGCUUUUUAAAGCGUUUUAGUUGACGAGAACUGAAGGAGGCACGUUAAUCCGACAAGAGUUGGCCAAUUUCCGUCUGGGUCAGAAAUGUGAAGUUCACGCAACUUGUCAUUUCGCUAUAGUGAGUGUUCUAUCGCUGAGAAUAUGCGCGCGCAAUCGGACACUCCUCGCAGUAAUUACAUAUAAUACACAUAUUUUUACUUUACACCUGCUGACUGCUUCUAUAUUUCUACGUUAUGUAUACACUAAAUAUACACAGAGGCAAAUAUAUAUUUUCCACACCCGAUAUUAAGAUACAACCUUAUAUCUAAGUAACAGCAUGAAACGGAACGCUUUUUAGCAUGGUCCUAAGAUGUGACAGAUAUCAGAUGAGGGAAGUCCGAGUAGUUCAGGGCCCCAAAAAAGCCAUAUGGAAUCUCCCCAUCCCCAUAGGAAAUGAUGACAAGCCACUUUCAUCAUGACAUUUAGGGAACAGUCACCAAUCACUGGCAACUUAAAGCACUCAUCCUGGUGGGUGUUUACAGUGUGUGGAGAAAUUAAUUUCAACAUCAGGAGAGUACCAGUCUGGGGCCUUGACUGGGAUUCUUAAUCUCAUCCUGAUUCUCCCCAUUGGCAAAAAAAAAGGUGAUUUGAACUCUUCAGAUCAAAUAUAAGUCUCUUAACUCCAUAACGGUCCAGCAGUCUUGAUGCAGGGGAUUUCUUGAGCCACCAGAUAAACCCACAGAUACUCUCACAGCACCUUUGUGCUGUCAGCAGUGUGUCUCACAGCCUGUGCUUUGUCUUUCCAUAUCAAUUAUGCAAGGGCAGAAGAGUAAAACUGUUUAGCCGAUCUGUGUUUAAUCUCAAAGCCAAAAUCUAAACAAAACCCCCCUUCCUGAUUUUUUUAAAUUGUUUGCCUAAAUCAGCAUGAUGGGAUUCGGUCCAAACUAACCAUUGUUAUACGGACUCUUCUGUCACCAGGGUUUCCAGACACUCUAGGAAUCUUAAUGCGAGGAAGCACGAUGGCUGUUUAUAGUCCGUAUCAGACAUGUUCUGGGGGAAAAUGCUCUCUGGACCACAAUAACACAGUGGCAGCAUUAAGUGAAGGACUUGGAGUUGAAUUCUCUCACUGUGGCAGUUCUGCAGAUCAGCCAAGGUGUUGUGGUAAGAGAUUAUGUUAAGUGUUACCAAAUUUCCCAAAUCACUUGGUACCGUGCAAGUUUGUAGAGUCGCCUUUUCACCGGAAUAAUUACGGCUAUGUUCAGUAUCUGGCUGACAGGUCAGCUGCUUCCUCAGGCCCAGUUUCUCCAUGGGCCCAGUUCCGUAACCAGCAGACUUCUACGUCUCCUUGUGUCCAUUCCCCAAAUCACAGAGGAAGGUUUGUUUGUUUGUUUACAAUUGCUGAAUUAGCUCCUUGGCACCUUCGCUCAGCUGCACGAAUCCGGUGCUCCAUCUGGCUUCCGAAUCGCCACAUUGGCAGCAUUGAUCAUGGUUACCAUGGGAAUGCUGUCAUGUGACCCGCUCCGACCCAUAUGGUAAUGAAUGAAACACAUUAAUCAAGAUUUGCCUGAACUUGUAAAGUAAAUGGUUGGAGCAGCAAAGGAAAUAGUUGCCCCCCCCCCUCUACCCUCCAGCUACAUAUGUGCCUAAAUUUAUUCUGGACACCCAGUAGCAUCCAAAAGAAUAGCACAGGAGGAACUAGAGGAGCAACUAAUCUCAUCACGCAGCCUAUUUUCAGCCUAAAUGUCUUUCACCAAAUAUAUUACAGCGUGUCACGAGAAACAUUCCAGAAUGGUUGAGUGUUUUAUUGCAGUUGGAAUCCACCGACCUGCACUAAAAACAGGCUCUUAAACACUGAUAAUUUCUCUGACCUCUGAGUUGGUGGUUUAUUGGUUUUCUGGAAGCAAAUAGGAUAAUGUGGGUCCAACGAAUAUGCCCUUAAGAAAGUUCAGGCCCAGAUUUGCUCCUCUGAAUCAGGUCCCACAGGACAGUGGCCCAGGAAACCAGUGUCAUGGAAAAUAGCUGUUAAAAAUGCAGUCAUACGAAAGGCAAAGCUAAGGUGAGCUAUUUUGUGGGUGACUGUAAUCACCCCUCAGAAAUUAUACAGACUGCUGUAUCAAGCUAAUGUUUAACACAUGUCAAUGUUAGUCAUUUCAUUGUAUAUCAUUAAAUGAACCUUGAUCUUGUUUUUGAGGGCAAGCGGAAGGAGUUUUGUUUUUUGGCUACGGUGCGUGUCAGCUGAUGUGUGGCUGAUUUCUCAGGAACCACGGCUCCCGUCCCCAGCAUACAUGCUGUGCUGACAGCGCUCCCUGUGCGAACCACGUCUGGAUCCACAAACAGCAAUUUAUCACCAUUUGCUUUUUACGGCGCUCAGAAAUGUUCUGAGGGAAACAAACAUACAAAGUGGCAAAGGAGGAGUUUGAAUCGUGUCUCAGGCAUGUUCUGAUUGUUUCCCAGGUAACUCCACUAAAUAAAAACAGCCUCCUUUCUUAAAAUCUCGCCCGGUGAUUUAAGGUAGUCUGCAAGAAUAUCCCCCUGAGCCUAUCCUAUUUAAGAGAGAUUUUACUUCUCAUCCGAUGAUGUGCAAGGCCUCAUCAGAUAACUAACUGUCAGCGCUUGCCCAAGAAUGUUUUCUAAACCUCUUUUUAAAAUAUGUGUCAGAAAAGCCACACACCUUGAAUGGACAGAUCCAGGUCCCAUCUGUUACGUUCACGUAACAUUGUGUUAAUGUUGUGGAAGCAUCAGCACCGUGAGACUGGCUCCGGUCUCGGCGUGUUUCCACCCAGCACCGUGAGACAGGCUCCGGUCUCGGCGUGUUUUCACCCGGCACCGUGAGACAGGCACCGGUCUCGGCGUGUUUCCACCCGGCACCGUGAGACAGGCUCCGGUCUCGGCGUGUUUCCACCCGGCACCGUGAGACAGGCUCCGGUCUCGGCGUGUUUCCACCCGGCACCGUGAGACAGGCUCCGGUCUCGGCGUGUUUCCACCCGGCACCGUGAGACAGGCUCCGGUCUCGGCGUGUUUCCACCCGGCACCGUGAGACAGGCUCCGGUCUCGGCGUGUUUCCACCCGGCACCGUGAGACAGGCUCCGAUCUCGGCGUGUUUUCACCCAGCACCGUGAGACAGGCUCCGGUCUCGGCGUGUUUUCACCCAGCACCGUGAGACAGGCUCCGGUCUCGGCGUGUUUCCACCCAGCACCGUGAGACAGGCUCCGGUCUCGGCGUGUUUCCACCCAGCACCGUGGCACGUUUCUGUUUUAAUCCUGUUUUUUUCUGGAAUUUAGGGCAGAACAUUAGAAUGGUACAGUAAGACCUGUGGUGAGCUUCUGGCUGCCAGUAAACAUCAUGCAGAUCAUCUCUAAACCCAUCUGUAGGUCUUCCCCUAAGCCAGGUGGUAUUUCCCUAAUAUACCUCCGAAGCACUCAGAGUCUGUAGUGAGCCAUUACAUAAUCGCGUCAUUAUCUUUGAAACAUUGGCUGAUGUUGGGGGCCUGUAUGUGGUUUGUGUGCAGCCUUGUAGCAUUACAGGAUUAGACAGAAUGGGAAGGGCUCCCUUUAGGUAAAACUUCUCUGCAGCCACUUUUGCUGUUGGGCCAUAAAUAUGCCUUUGACGAGGAUAAUUAUAAAGUCUUUCCCCAGACAGUGUAGUCAAGGUUUGCUGCUCACUCCAAUUACGGCACAUCAUUUGGGGUAUAUGAAGAAGCUCCCCCCCCCCCCCCCAACACUGAAACACGUUCAUCCUGUUUCAUGUUGCCAGAUAAACACCUCCACACCUAAGCAUUCCUUGUCUGUGCAUGUGAUUUUUCCAUUGUUCUUGAACAGGACACAAGGGUAUUCCUGUCGCCAAUCUAGGUUCAGAGUUCCGGGGUUAAAGAGUUUCAGUUUCCAGGUUCCAUGUUCUGAGCUUCUAUAUUCCGUUGGGAUGAGAAGGGUUUGUUUUCUUUUUUUUGCAUGUGGCGCCACAGUAGGUCUGACUCUUUUCAUUCUAUUCAUGUGUGUUUGGCACAUUGAAGUGUACUACAGAAUCUCUAGGAGAUUAACCUAUAAUAGGACUGAAUUCUAGCCCUGCCCCUUGUUUAACUUCUGGAAUGUGAAUGGCCUAGCUGUUGAAAUGAUCGGCCCCUGUAUGAUUUCUCCAUCAUGUUCUGUGCCCUGCAAUCAUGCCUUUAGUUGCUGAGCGCAGUGAUGCUACCUGGGAUCGUUACGAUCAAAGGCCACCAUUGCCGUCGCGUGUGUCUGGAACAUGACGCAAAUCUGUUUCCGUCUGUGCUUGUGACGUAAUCCGUGGCCUGAUUUGUCCCGCUCAUGUUGCAGUCAGGUGCCAGCUUCCCUCCACCCCCUUACUCCCAGCCCCCACUUGCCCUUUCCCCCCCCCCUGCCAUUUUGGGCAACAGCCUGCUAAGGGCAGAGAAACCGGGAUGAUCCUCUUCGUCUCUCGCUGUCUAGACCCAGGGGCCAAAAAAAGCCAGCGUGUGGCCCUGGGUGCCACAAGAAUGUGACUGGCUGAAUCUCCGGCCGAGCUGGGAUCUCCCUGCUGAACUGGAUGUGUUCCCUUCGCAGCUGUCUGACAGGUGGACCCGGUUCCUCUGUCGAGGAUGUGCUAUGAAGUCUAAACCAUUCAUCACAGCCACGGGGGACAAUGACUUUCUAACACAUCAAGGACUCUCAGUCCCUUUUCCUCCUAUUUAUUCCCUUCGUGUGUUUCCAAACAACCAACUUGAUUUUAAGCAAUGGCAGGAUAUGGACCAAAACAAUAACAAGAGGAAGGGCAGUAGGUCCCCCCCCCACCCCAAAUCACUUGGUUUGGCCCGUUACAUCACAAAGAGAUUGGCAUACCUGGAACAUUUACGUAAUGUCUAAUCCACUCACACGGCUCAAUAUUUCAUGUGAAAUUUAACUUGGGUGAUCUACUCUGCUGGCCAAUCAGCAGAGGCUUGCCCAAGACUAAAGCAAUGACCGUUCCUGUCCACAGCCACCCUGAUCCUUAACCUGUGGCAGCAAGAAAUCACCAUGGUGUCCGGGAACGGAUGUGCAAGCUGACAAGGGACAGCAGAGUGGGAUUUCUUUCCCAGCGGAUGUCACACAGCAAAUUAGGCAUCAUGUGCGAUUUUCUUCAUUACAUGUGGAGGUGAACCAUGGAGUCACAGCCACAGUCACUUUAGGUGCUUUUCACAGAAUUGUUUAAUCAUUGAUCUCUCCCUUUGGAGAGAGGUUCUGCAUAUUCUGCAGGCAAGCAGAGAUUUUCAUAGUUUACCUCUUGGUUUGGGUACCGGAAUGAUAAAUUAUAUCAUUCUAUAACAUGAUGCCAGCCUGUUAGGAUCAAAGUUGAAAUCGCAGUCUGGGCAGUGAGGUUGCAUGUGUGCAUCACCUGUUGCCAUGGCGCUGAAGUGCCAUGUCAACUCAGCCAGCUGACUUGAAGUGAGCUCUGCUGGUUUUGCCUUUAGGGAUCUCUGUUCUUGAGAACCUUAACGUUUAUUAAGCCUGUGGUUUUAUUCGGUGUGGGGCUGGGGGACCAGGUGCCUUAUCCCUCAGCUAAACUAUUCACUCUCUCCGUUCUUCGUCACAAACCCUGAUUUUGAUGGAGGUAAUAGCUCAGCCUUAGAAAAGAAGAAAAGACAGACCUUCUCUAAUCUAUGUGGAUUUUUAUUCUCCUGCAUAAAUUCCUUCGAACUGUAAUGCAGCUGUAACAGCGACACCUGCUGGACCAGAAGAUGACUGCAUUUCCUCCAUGAACCUUGUCAGAAAUCUUGGUAUCCUGCUUUACGACAUAUGGAUCAGGUCAAGCGGUCAGACCACCCGGGUAGUAGGAGAAGCGUGACCCCCAGAGGAGCCUCCAUCUGGACGAGGAGGAGGGAUCUGUUGGUAGUGAACGCUGUCUGCAUUACACCACACAGCUGCAUGGCCGAGCACAACCACUCCGUCUACUAGCACUUCCUCUAAGUUUGUUGUAAAUGUAUAUCAAUGGUAUAGAUUUUAUCCCACACAUAUAUUGAGACAGUUUCUAUGUUUUUAUGUUACAAUACUCCUUUUAUUGCUGCUAUUAACAUGCACUGUCCACUUUGCUGCUGUAAAAAUGCAAAUUUCCCACCUGUGGGACUAAUAACGGCUGUCUUAUCUUACCUUAUCUUAUCUUAUCUUAUCUUAGAUGCUAUAUAUUGACACAUGUUCAUCAUAAAUAUCACAAAUCAUAAAUAUCUCAAAUGCUGUUGCAUUGAAUUACAAUUUCAGUUAAACUUUGAAAUAUGCUUCUGUAAUACACUACAUCCAUCUUGCAUAAUCACUUAUGCAGUAUGGGGUCACUAUGGGCCUUUGAUGGUUUUCUGAUAUAUACAUGUAUAGGUGAUCUGUACUUACGUCCGGAUGUACGGACGAAUUUAUUGUAUAGGUAUUUGAUAUUUGUUUGAUAUUCCCACCUACGUUCGCAUAUACGUAUCCCAGGGUUUCCCCUUUAGGUCAGAAGACGGUGGUUCUUCAGUAGAACAUUACGUGCAGUUCCAGAAUCCCACGCCGCGCCUAGGAGUGCUGCCCAGAUGGCCGGUCCCAGCCGUCCUGGGCCACUUGCCUUGGCGGCGUCCUGCGAGAACGUCGGGACGAGAACUGGAGAGACUGGAGGGAUGGGCAUUGCGGGCGCUGGUCUUUCUUGGCAGAUGGGGGAGAGUUUCCGGAGGACGUGGCUGCUGUCCGCGUGCCUCUAAGUGGGGGAGAGAGAACGACCGCGCUGGAAUCUGCCCAUUUCCUUUGGCUGCCCGGUCCCUGCGUGUUUCUGGAGCCAUUCACUAGCUACCGCCGUGACCCCCCCCCCCCACCCCCCCCGCUCAGCAAUCACACACAAAGCACAGACUUUGGGGCCAGGCCUGCUUACCUAAGAGAGCCAAUUAAAUGUGUUGGGUGGAUGGGUUUACCUUGCGCACCAUGAUGGCGUUCAGGGAUUUCUCUGAAGCUCCUCUCUGACUAGACAUUCCAGCAUGAAUCUUUCUCCUGCUGUCUCCGGUCUGCCAGUUCCCGUCCCUGUUCUUGCUUACCUCCCACAGGCCACCCUUGAUGACAUAAUCAAAGGCAGCCUGUCCAUUUAGUGGCCACACACAGCCACUGGAGACUGCUGAUCAAUUAGUGGGGUGUCGAUAUCAUGGUUGACAAGCGGGCCAAACAUGCUGCGUAUGUUAUGUGUGGCUGGGUGAGUGUGAAUGUCCCUGGAUAUUUGAAAACGGGCAUUAAACUGGUCACCUGUGACAGGGCCUGAUAGGUGUACCACAUUAUAAUGCCAUGCAGAGAGAUAGCCAAUAAGUGAUGAUCAAUAAUAUAUGCGCCCGGCUACAUAAACUGAAAACUACUUUUUGAAAGAUUCUCCCCGAUGUCUUGCAGUUGAGUUUUAAAUGGGUAUCAGUAAAACUGCAGACUGUGCUUCUGCUGCAGCAGAUGAAAGACUUCUGCUGGGAGACACAAUGAAGCAUCGGCACCAAGAGGCGACCAGCUUGACAGAUCCAGGUCAGUGCAGGCCUCUGCUGGGGGCUGAAGCUGCCACCUCAGGCUCCCUGGAUUUAGGGUGAUUGGAGUAGGCAGUGUAGUGAGGGAGUGGAUAGGGUGGUUGGGGGGAAGGGCAUUGUCCAAAGAACAUGCGGAGGAACGAUGGCCCCCAGGUGUGGGCGUCCGGCCUUGACGCGCGUGGGAACACGAGUAGGACAGUGUCCGUGACUCAUUUGCUGCUGUACACGUCAUGGUGUGGGCGGCCAUCUGCUGCCCUUUUCCCUGGUCUGGCUCCGCUAGGGCUGAAUCCGCUCUCACUCGCCGGCCGUGCUCCUCCCACAGUGAGGCCCGGGCCCCGAGGGACCAGGUGGUAGAGGGGAGUAACGGAACAGAGGAGAACUCUCACAUGGGGAAGAGCGGAGCAAGGGUGAAUCGGAAAACUGCUGCACACCGCGAACUCCUCAGUACUCUGUCGCUUAGGGCCCCCCCCCCCCCCACAUUUUUAGGACUUCCUCUUAUCCAAUCUCUGAAGAAUUGGUGACGUGAUGACAUUGCACUGUUACUUUGCAUCGUGUCUAUGUAUCUGUUGUUAUAAUUGUAAUUCUGUUUAUUGUAUCUUAAUUUGUUCUUGUGAUUUGCAUUUUGUGCUUAAUCUGUGUUUAUCAAAAGGACAUAGGGGUGGUGCAGUAGUUGGCACUGCUGCCUCACACAUCUGCGUUCAGGGUUCCGCGUGUGUGGAUUUUGCAUGUUCUCUCUCUGUCGUUGUUUGGUUUCCCCCCUCUGUCCAAAAACAUGUUGCGGCUAAUUAGAGUUAUCACGUCGUGUAUGGGUCUGUGAGUGAAUGGUGCGUGAGUUAAUGGUCUGUGAGUGAAUGGUACGUGAUGGUGCCCUGUGAUGGGUUAGUGCCACAGCCUGGGUUAUUUCCUGCCUUGUGCCGAUAUGCUCUGGACCCCCCCCAUGACCCUAAAUAGGAUAAGUAGUUUCAGAAAUUGGAUGGAUGGAAGGACAUCAAAGUAAGAUUCUCAUUGCAUAGUGCAAAUAAACCCUUGAAUCAU